rnacentral:rRNA from 1 species
UAGGGAAUCUUCGGCAAUGGACGAAAGUCUGACCGAGCAACGCCGCGUGAGUGAAGAAGGUUUUCGGAUCGUAAAACUCUGUUGUUAGAGAAGAACAAGGACGUUAGUAACUGAACGUCCCCUGACGGUAUCUAACCAGAAAGCCACGGCUAACUACGUGCCAGCAGCCGCGGUAAUACGUCGGUGGCAAGCGUUGUCCGGAUUUAUUGGGCGUAAUGCGAGCGCAGGCGGUUUCUUAAGUCUGAUGUGAAAGCCCCCGGCUCAACCGGGGAGGGUCAUUGGAAACUGGGAGACUUGAGUGAAGAAGAGAGGAGUAGAAUUCGAAGUGUAGCGGUGUGCUGCGUGGAUAGGUGGAGGAACAGCAGUGGCGGAGGCGGCUCGCUGGUCUGUAACUGCCGCUGAGGCACGAAAGCGUGGGGAGCAAACAGG